CAGGUGUCUUAUGACGCGCAUCCACGUGACUUAGCUGUUGUUUUAUUUUUCUUGUAUGACGAAUACCUAUUGCCCGGUUGUAAAAUUAUCGCAAUUUUACGUAAAAAAUUACGCUAAAGGAUUGAUUGUAAACAUCGUUUGACGUGUUUCUACAAACGGUAAUGGAACUUUUGGCCAUUUCGUCUACGGAUUUGCGUCCACGCCACAUGGCAUUGUAAAGUGUUCUGGAUGGGUCAACAAAAUGGAUGUAUUUGGAAAUAAAUGAUGGGCUUUGCAGAACAAAUGAAAAUUUCUUGUGGAAGUGGGUGCCCAUCCGAGUGCAUUCCGCCGAAGAUCAGCAAAGCAUUCAUCUUCUCCUUCUCAAACUUGGCGAACUCUCUCCUGUCGUGGAUGAUCAUCAGCAGCUUCCAGAUGAGAAGCAAAGCCAGGCCGAUCAGCACGAUGCCCGCCACCACGCCAGCCCACAGUUGGGAUGAUCGCAGGGCAGUCUGGAACACAGGCAGGAAACACACAGUCAGGAACAUUCAGUUAUACCAACUUGUGUUUAUUUAUUUAACCAGGCAAGUCAGUUACUGUAAGAGCAAAUGCUGAUUUACAAUAAAGUCCUUCCUGAUUUGCAUUAUAUAUAGGCCCAGGAACUUUACCUGACCAUGUAAGCUGACUAGGAAAAACUACAAGUAGUGCCUAGAAUUCUUCCUAGUCAGGUCAAAAACUCCUAGCUCUAAUCACAAAAGGACUCAUUAGACAAACAAAUAACUUCCCUUUUCACUGUAAUAUCCUCAGUCACAAUGAUAUAGUAGGCUGUAUGUAAUAUGCUCUCACCUAGUGUUUCCACCACAUGGACCUCCUUCUCUGUCUUGUUGUUGACAGCGUAGGUGUAGUAGAACCAGCAGUCGUUGGCAUCCCUCUCCUUACAGUGCAUCAGGGGGAAAGCCUGUCCUGGCUGAGGCAGCUUGCCCCUGUCCUUCACCUUGAUCAGGUUGAAGUAGCUACAGUCUCUCUCACACGUGUCCUUCUUCUCCCCCGUCCCAAAGGCCCUGCACUGAACACACUCCCUGUGGAAGACAGGACAUUGACAUGUAACUCUGUACAGAUGGAGUAACACACGCAGGUAGUCUCGCAUUUGGAUGCUUGCUAGACUUGUGACAUAUUCACUAGUAGGACUGUGGCAGUCACAAAAUGUAUCGUCAAGCAAAUAACUGUCGGUCUCAUGGUAAUUGAUGCUAAUUAAAACACAUUUAUCAUCUCCUGGCUUCCACACUUACAAACCACUGAUGCAGACCUUUGGAACAUCUACAUUUUAAAAAGUCUAAUAAAUCCAUGUAAUAUAGCCUACACCUUCACAAUAAAUCCAUUAUUUAUUUUAGACAGGUUUAAAGAAACAUGAUAUGAAGAAAAUAUAGUCUAUUUCAGAAGAACAGAAUAGCAUACUCUUAGUUGUCCUUAUGUUAGGUCCUGAUCUGGCUAUGAUAAAUGGCUAUAUGGGCUACAAAGAUUUGCUUAGAAUUCCGUGGCAUUAUUUUAUAUUAUUUCAUAGUAUGAAGAAUAUAAUUGAACAAAGCUGAAUAAAAUAGAAAGGAUAUUUUCUCCAAAUGAUUUUAGGGAGUGCGUAUUCUGUGUUGAGUGAUUAACAAAGAAUGAGGUAUUCCUAUAUGCUUCAUUUAGAGUUAUUAACGUAACUUUAGUUGUACAAACGUUGGGCUAUAUGCUUUAAUAUGUAAUACUUUGUAAGGAUGCGUGAUGUGACUAAUGAUGAUUUGAAAAAAGUUGCUUGAAAGGCAUGAGCUCUGCUUAGUGUUUUUGCACAGGCUGUACACACUUUAUCAGUCUCUCAUUCACAAUUUGACAAGCACUUGACAAGGCCUCAAGUGCUGCGUUGUACCGUUCUAUCUGGGUGCUGCGCGCUCCGAAGCACCUCUCACUCCCAUGGUUCUCCAUCACGUGAUCGGGUCUUUCUCACAGGCUACAAGUGAAGACAGACACAUCCGGGACGCAGCUGCCCACGUCCUUAUCCAAUUCUGAGGUGAAUAUUUGAAGAUAUUGGAAGAACUGUCCACAUGUACGUUUCGUCAGCCAACAAAAUGAGUAGGCCGAACGAACAGCAAAAGUACUAGCCUAUGUCAAUCUACUAUCCCCCAUAGUACAAAAGUUGACCUAUUCUAUUCUGUGCGAGAAAUAAAUAUUCCAAACAAAGUCUGUGACAUUUGUGGGAUGCGAUAGAUCCCAAAUGAAUGCAACCACUAGCAUCAAAAAACAUUUUUCAAGCUAAAUGGCUAAUGCAAUAGAUCAGAACGUUUAGCUUUAAAUGUUGAUAAACUAUUAGGCUAUUUCUUCAUAUUAUAAACUCAGCAAAGCGCAUAUGGCAAUAGGCUAUAAGCGCGAAUAUUCCAUUAGCGGGAAAACACCAUUAUUAAAACUGACCGCAAAUGCGAUUAUGCAUGUAAUGCUUUUAUUAUAAAGGUGCAUUUUUAUGGUGAAAAUGAUCUUCCCCAAAAUUGAAACUCAUGCGCUGCUUAUGUAUGCCAGUUAGGCUGUACACCCCUUGUAAAGCAGAUUAAUGUGCUUAAUUUUAAGACGUUAUUUGGCCACUUUAGUUGCAAUAUGCCUAUGGGCUAGGCUACAUGAGGUGUGCGACUAUGAUUAGAAAAAGUAGCAAAAACAAGGCAUUGUUUCUUGCCUUAUUCUGGGCAUCAUUCACAAGUGAUAACAUAUAAUUCACAAGUUAUUGGCUAAUAUUGUCACCCAUCAGACUAUUCUUGAUUUAAUCUUGUCUUUACAUAAACUAAAUACAUGUGAAAUAAUUUUUUAUUAAAAAAUUGGACCAUUAUCAUGCACUGGUCUCAGAACAUGUCAUCUAUGCACUUAAAUAGCGAACGGAGGACGUUUUUCCCGUGGUUCCUUUUCAUGCCAACCAGGUAGACUAUACUCCUCUUGUAAAUAUAAGCAAUGUGCUUAAUAUUAGGAAAGUUGAGAAAAAAAUACAGUAGGCCUAACCUAUAGAAAGCUGAUGAGAUCCUCUUAAUAGAGGACAUGACUCACGCAUAUGCAUAGCCUAUAGAAAUGUUGCACAACAUCGGGGUGGUUGGUAGGCUAGGCUGUCAUUGAAAAUAAGAAUUUGUUCUUAACUGACUUGGUAAAUAACAUGGGCUCUCAUGCAGUGUGUGAUUAGAGUGCUGAAUACCAGGCAGUUAGCAAGUUUGGUAGGCUACUAAUGACCAUCAGAGCUUGGAGAAGCCUAUUUACCGUGACUAAAUGGUCAUGUGGAAUUUGACUGCCUUUGUGACUGCCGGUGUGGCAGAAACAUGGUCACCGCAACAGCCCUAUUCACUAGUCUACUGGAAUGCAAGAAAGCUGGAUAUUGAGGUUCCACUCCACAUGCAGGUGUUUGUAGUGGACAAUGCUGUACCCUUGCCACCACUACUGGUUUUAGAUAGCACAGUUGUGUCUAGACUGUUCAUUGGUCCCCUUUCUUGGAAUUAUCAGAAGAAAGUAAACAAAGGUCACAAUAAUAAUUGAGGUUAAGACAGAUAAAGGAAGACAUCUCUUUAUGCCUACGUAAAAGGUUAAGAGGCAUUCAACUCAGGCUGAGGAAAGAGAGAAGGAACCGGUCCCUCAGAUUAAAAAAAAUAAAAAGCAGAAUUCAUUUCAACCAUCAUAAAAAACCUUUAUGUAAUCCACACAGCAUUCCCAGAAGGAAAUACUAUCACGACUUAGGAUAACCAAGGGGCAGGCAAAAGGGCAGGUCGAGGGCAGGCAGAGGUUCGUAGUCCAAGGCAGAGUCAAAAAGGGACAGACCGGCAAGCAGGCUCAGGGCAGGCAGAAAGGUCGGAACGGGGAAGACUAGAAAACAAGAACAGGAGAAAUGGGAAAGACGCUGGUGAGAGCUGACAAAACAAGACAAACUGGCAACAGACAAACAGAAAACACAGGUAUAAAUACACAGGGGAUAAUGGAGGAAAAUAGGAGACACUUGGUGGGGGGUGGAGACAAGCACAAGACAGGUGAAACAGAUCAGGGUUUGACAAAUACAGCAUAUGAAGGAGUGGCUUCGGGAAAAGUCUCUGAAUGUCCUUGAGUGGCCCAGCCAGAGCCCAGACUUGAACCUGAUCAAACCUCUCUGGAGAGACCUGAAAAUAGCUGUGCAGUGACGCUCCCCAUCCAACCUGACAGAGCUUGAGAGGAUCAGCAGAAUAGAAUUGGAGAAAUUCCCCAAAUAUUGGUUUGCCAAGCUUGUAGCAUUAUACCCAAGAAGACUUGAGGCUGUAAUCGCUGCCAAAGGUGCUUCAACAAAGUACUGACUAAAACGUCUGAAUACUUACGUAAACGUGAUAUUUCAGUUUUUAUCUUCAAUAAAUGUGCUAAAAAAAACGUAAAGCCUG
rnacentral:lncRNA from 1 species